AUAGCAAUAUCUAUGGUGGCGACCGGCGCACGGGUGCGUAACGCGUAUGCAACCUACCUUUAACAGGGGGAUAACGCAUCGAAAGAUGUGCUAAUACCGCGUAAGACCACGUUUCUGACAUGGGAAUGAGGUCAAAGGAGCAAUCCGGUGGAAGAUGGGCUCGCGUCUGAUUAGCUAGUUGGUGAGGUAACGGCCCACCAAGGCGACGAUCAGUAGCCGACCUGAGAGGGUGAUCGGCCACAUUGGAACUGAGAGACGGUCCAAACUCC
rnacentral:rRNA from 1 species